UACGAAGGGGGCUAGCGUUGUUCGGAAUUACUGGGCGUAAAGCGUGCGCAGGCGGCUUCUCAAGUCAGGGGUGAAAGCCCAGAGCUCAACUCUGGAAUUGCCUUUGAGACUGAGUGGCUUGAGUACGAGAGAGGUGAGUGGAAUUCCCAGUGUAGAGGUGAAAUUCGUAGAUAUCGGGAGGAACACCAGUGGCGAAGGCGGCGAUCUGGGAAGAUACUGACGCUGAGGUGGCGAAAGCGUGGGGAGCAAACAGG
rnacentral:rRNA from 1 species